UCAUACUGAAAAUGGCUUUGGAUCUAAAAAUGGUGUAAAGUCAGAUAAUUGAGCCCAAAGCAUUGUUGUACGUAAUGCUUAUUGCCUGCUCCUGGAUUGGCAGAGCGAUAAAACCCAUGUACCUACAACU
ensembl:snoRNA Small nucleolar RNA ACA64